AGAGUUUGAUCCUGGCUCAGAACGAACGCUGGCGGCGCGUUUUAAGCAUGCAAGUCGAACGGUAAUAGGGUGCUUGCACUCUAUGAGAGUGGCGAACGGGUGAGUAACACGUGGGUAAUCUACCUUGAAGUUGGGGAUAGCCUGUGGAAACACAGGGUAAUACCGAAUGUCCUCAUUUCGGUGAGGAAAGAGGCUAAGGCCUCGCUUUGGGAUGAGCCUGCGGCUCAUUAGCUAGUUGGUGGGGUAAAGGCCUACCAAGGCGACGAUGAGUAGCCGACCUGAGAGGGUGACCGGCCACACUGGGACUGAGACACGGCCCAGACUCCUACGGGAGGCAGCAGCUAAGAAUCUUCCGCAAUGGCCGAAAGGCUGACGGAGCGACGCCGCGUGGACGAUGAAGGCCGGGAGGUUGUAAGGUCCUUUUAUUGGAGAAGAAUAAUGCGGGGAGGGAAUGCCCUGCAGAUGACGUUAUCCUAUGAAUAAGCCCCGGCUAAUUACGUGCCAGCAGCCGCGGUAACACGUAAGGGGCAAGCGUUGUUCGGAAUUAUUGGGCGUAAAGGGCGCGUAGGCGGCUAUGAAAGUCUGGUGUGAAAGGCCACCCUUAACGGUGGGAGUGCACUGGAAACUACAUGGCUAGAGUUCAAGAGGGGAAGCUGGAAUUCCUGGUGUAGGGGUGAAAUCUGUAGAUAUCAGGAAGAACACCUGUGGCGAAGGCGAGCUUCUGGCUAUGAACUGACGCUGAGGCGCGAAAGCGUGGGGAGCGAACAGGAUUAGAUACCCUGGUAGUCCACGCUGUAAACGAUGUGCACUAGGUGUUGGCUGUUGUAACGGUCAGUGCCGAAGCAAACGCGAUAAGUGCACCGCCUGGGGAGUAUGCUCGCAAGGGUGAAACUCAAAGGAAUUGACGGGGGCCCGCACAAGCGGUGGAGCAUGUGGUUUAAUUCGAUACGCGAGGAACCUUACCAGGGCUUGACAUAUGCAUGACGAUCAUAGAGAUAUGGUUUCCCUUCGGGGCGUGUAUACAGGUGCUGCAUGGUUGUCGUCAGCUCGUGCUGUGAGGUGUUGGGUUAAGUCCCGCAACGAGCGCAACCCCUGCUGUCUGUUGCCAGCAUUUCGGAUGGGGACUCAGACGGUACUGCCGGUGACAAACCGGAGGAAGGUGGGGAUGACGUCAAAUCAUCAUGGCCCUUAUGCCCUGGGCUACACACGUGCUACAAUGGUUGGUACAGAGCGAUGCAAAACCGCGAGGUGGAGCAAAUCGCAGAAAGCCGGCCUCAGUACGGAUUGGAGUCUGAAACUCGACUUCAUGAAGUUGGAAUCGCUAGUAAUCGCGCAUCAGCAUGGCGCGGUGAAUACGUUCCCGGGCCUUGUACACACCGCCCGUCACACCACCCGAGUUGGGGGUACCCGAAGUCGCUCGUCUAACCGGUUACGGAGGACGGUGCCGAAGGUAUGCCUGGUAAGGGGGGUGAAGUCGUAACAAGGUA
rnacentral:rRNA from 1 species